GAUGAACGCUGGCGGCGUGCUUAACACAUGCAAGUCGAACGAUGAAGCCCAGCCUGCUGGGCGGAUUAGUGGCGAACGGGUGAGUAACACGUGAGUAACCUGCCCUUGGCUCUGGGAUAAGCCCGGGAAACUGGGUCUAAUACCGGAUAGGAGCGCCUGUCGCAUGACGGGUGCUGGAAAGAUUUUUCGGUCAUGGAUGGACUCGCGGCCUAUCAGCUUGUUGGUGAGGUAACGGCUCACCAAGGCGACGACGGGUAGCCGGCCUGAGAGGGUGACCGGCCACACUGGGACUGAGACACGGCCCAGACUCCUACGGGAGGCAGCAGUGGGGAAUAUUGCACAAUGGGCGGAAGCCUGAUGCAGCGACGCCGCGUGAGGGAUGACGGCCUUCGGGUUGUAAACCUCUUUCAGUAGGGAAGAAGCG
rnacentral:rRNA from 1 species